GAGGUUUGAUCAUGGCUCAGGAUGAACGCUAGCGGGAGGCCUAACACAUGCAAGUCGAACGGGAUCCCCUUCGGGGGUGAGAGUGGCGCACGGGUGAGUAACGCGUAUGCAACCUGCCUGUAACAGAUGGAUAGCCCAUAGAAAUGUGGAUUAAUACAUCAUAGUUCUAUUGAGCCGCAUGGUUUGAUAGAUAAAGCUCCGGCGGUUACAGAUGGGCAUGCGUGACAUUAGCUAGUUGGUGAGGUAACGGCUCACCAAGGCGACGAUGUCUAGGGGUUCUGAGAGGAUGAUCCCCCACACUGGUACUGAGACACGGACCAGACUCCUACGGGAGGCAGCAGUGAGGAAUAUUGGUCAAUGGGCGCAAGCCUGAACCAGCCAUCCCGCGUGCAGGAUGACGGCCCUAUGGGUUGUAAACUGCUUUUAUACAGGAAGAAAAAUCUCUACGUGUAGAGACUUGCCGGUACUGUAUGAAUAAGCAUCGGCUAACUCCGUGCCAGCAGCCGCGGUAAUACGUAGGGUGCGAGCGUUAAUCGGAAUUACUGGGCGUAAAGCGUGCGCAGGCGGAUUGUUAAGCAAGAUGUGAAAUCCCCGGGCUUAACCUGGGAAUGGCAUUUUGAACUGGCAGUCUAGAGUGCGUCAGAGGGGGGUGGAAUUCCACGUGUAGCAGUGAAAUGCGUAGAGAUGUGGGAGGAACACCGAUGGCGAAAGGCAGCCCCCUGGGAUGAACACUGACGCUCAUGUACGAAAGCGUGGGUAGCAAAACAGGAUUAGAUACCCUGGUAGUCCACGCCCUAAACGAUGUCAAACUGGUUGUUGGGGGAGUGAAAUCCCUUAGUAACGAAGCUAACGCGUGAAGUUGACCGCCUGGGGAGUACGGUCGCAAGAUUAAAACUCAAAGGAAUUGACGGGGACCCGCACAAGCGGUGGAUGAUGUGGAUUAAUUCGAUGCAACGCGAAAAACCUUACCUACCCUUGACAUGUCCGGAAUCCUGCAGAGAUGCGGGAGUGCCCGAAAGGGAAUCGGAACACAGGUGCUGCAUGGCUGUCGUCAGCUCGUGUCGUGAGAUGUUGGGUUAAGUCCCGCAACGAGCGCAACCCUUGUCCUUAGUUGCCAGCGGUUCGGCCGGGCACUCUAGGGAGACUGCCGGUGACAAACCGGAGGAAGGUGGGGAUGACGUCAAGUCCUCAUGGCCUUUAUGUCCAGGGCUACACACGUGCUACAAUGGCGCGUACAGAGGGAAGCCAAGCCGCGAGGUGGAGCAGACCCCAGAAAGCGCGUCGUAGUUCGGAUUGCAGUCUGCAACUCGACUGCAUGAAGUCGGAAUCGCUAGUAAUCGCGGAUCAGCAUGCCGCGGUGAAUACGUUCCCGGGCCUUGUACACACCGCCCGUCACACCAUGGGAGUGGAUUGUACCAGAAGCCGUUAGCCUAACCUUCGGGAGGGCGAUGACCACGGUAUGGUUCAUGACUGGGGUGAAGUCGUAACAAGGUACCA
rnacentral:rRNA from 1 species